ACGUAGGGUGCAAGCGUUAAUCGGAAUUACUGGGCGUAAAGCGUGCGCAGGCGGUUUUGUAAGACAGAUGUGAAAUCCCCGGGCUUAACCUGGGAACUGCAUUUGUGACUGCAAGGCUAGAGUACGGCAGAGGGGGGUAGAAUUCCACGUGUAGCAGUGAAAUGCGUAGAUAUGUGGAGGAAUACCGAUGGCGAAGGCAGCCCCCUGGGUCGAUACUGACGCUCAUGCACGAAAGCGUGGGGAGCAAACAGGAUUAGAUACCCUGGUAGUCCACGCCCUAAACGAUGUCAACUAGGUGUU
rnacentral:rRNA from 1 species